rnacentral:misc_RNA from 1 species
GAUGAAGAACGCAGCGAAAUGCGAUAAGUAAUGUGAAUUGCAGAAUUCAGUGAAUCAUCGAAUCUUUGAACGCACAUUGCGCCCGCCAGUAUUCUGGCGGGCAUGCCUGUUCGAGCGUCAUUACAACCCUCAGGCCCCGGGCCUGGCGUUGGGGAUCGGCGGAGCCCCCCGUGGGCACACGCCGUCCCCCAAAUGCAGUGGCGGUCCCGCCGCAGCUUCCAUCGCGUAGUAGCUAACACCUCGCGACUGGAGAGCGGCGCGGCCACGCCGUAAAACACCCAACUCUUCUGAAGUUGACCUCGAAUCAGGUAGGAAUACCCGCUGAACUUAAGCAUAUCAAUAAGCGGAGGA